GCGUAACAGCUCACUGGUCUAAAUAAGGGGUCCUGCGCCGAAAAUGUAACGGGGCUCAAGCCACGAGCCGAAGCUUCGGGUGUAUCGCAAGAUACGCGGUAGCGGAGCGUUCCCUAGGCCGUUGAAGGGAUACUCGUGAGAGAUCCUGGAGGUAUGGGAAGUGCGAAUGCUGACAUGAGUAACGACAAAGAGUGUGAAAGACACUCUCGCCGAAAGUCCAAGGGUUCCUGCGUAA
rnacentral:rRNA from 1 species